rnacentral:misc_RNA from 1 species
GGAAGGAUCAUUAACACGACUCUCUUGUUGCUCCCUCGGUGGAUAUACCCAAAUGGUAGCAUUCGAAAUAAGGCCUUCGGGCUGUACUCGACACUACUACUGUUAAUUUGGCCUUGAAAUCGAAGCCGCUCAAGAGUUUUAACACCUGCUGUCUUGUCGUCAGCGUGGGGGGACCGCAUCUGAGUCUUUCGAGACGCUAAAAAACCGCAAGGUGGAGUGCGGGCUGGUCAACCCACGUGGUUUUUCUGGAUCCACCGGUUUUUUUUUUUUUUUAAUUAUUAUAUUUAUUAUGAUAAUUGACGGCGUAAUAAUAAUAAUUUAUUAUUAUUAUUUGUUGUUCUUUUAUCUAUAAUAUUAUAUAGUAGUUUCCAAACAAAAAAAACGCAAGUCAACUCGGAUCUGAAUGUUAUUUUUGCUUGUGUAUUUUUGGUUCCCGAUAGUUGUGGUGAAACAACCAGGCCCUUCAAACAAUCUACUACUUUUUUACGUUCGGGUUCAGCUCGCUAUGUUCCCGCACUUCGUUUAAAGGUAGUGACUUGACGGAUAACUUGGCUUCAUCAAGAAGACGGUUGGUACAACAAAAGUUAUGCGAACAAAAAAAAAAGUAAAAAAUACAACUGUUAACAAUGGAUAUCUUGGCUCUUGCAUCGAUGAAGAACGCAGCGAACUGCGAUACGUAAUGUGAAUUGCAGAACUCCGUGAAUCAUCAAAUUUUUGAACGCAAGUUGCCCUUCCGGGGUCGCUCCUGGGAGGAUGCCUGUUUGAGUGUUAUCAACCUUUAUCACCUCCAAAAAACAAAUUCUGAGCCGAAAUGCUUGUUUUUGAUCUUUUUGUUUUGACGGUGGAGAUUGAGAGUCCGUCGCAAGACCGUCUCUUUAAAUUUAAACGCUUUGGAAGAAGAGAGCAUACUCACUCCUUUUUGAGCCGCUGAUUGGUAGUUCCGGAGACGGAAUAAUAUCUCUCGGAUGGUCUCAGUCUGGGGCAGUGUGUUACCGAUUUUCCGGGGUAUUUGCAUUGCAUUGAAAUCUCGUAUUUCAUUUUUGAACAUAACCUCAAAUCAGGUAAGACUACCCGCUGAAUUUAAGCAUAUUAAUAAGCGGAGGAAAAGAAACUAACAAGGAUUCCCCUAGUAAUGGCGAAUGAAGAGGGAUCAGCUCAAGCCUAAAUCGGGAAGCUUUCGCUUUUCGAAUUGUAGUCUAUGGAACCUGUUUCUGUGUGCCAGCCAGGUAGAAGUCCUUUGGAACAAGGCAUCAUAGAGGGUGAGAAUCCCGUAUGUGUCUUGGUUACUUGGCAUCUGUACGGACAGAGUUCCGCGAGUCGGGCUGUUUGGGAUUGCAGCUCUAAAUGGGUGGUAAAUUCCAUCUAAAGCUAAAUAGCGGCAAGAGACCGAUAGCGAACAAGUAGCGUGAGCGAAAGAUGAAAAGAACUUUGAAAAGAGAGUUAAAAAGUACUUGAAAUUGUUAACAGGUAAACGAAUACCGUCAGUGUUCACCCGGCUAGUUGGUGCCUAGGAUGGAGGAAUGUAGGGCGUCUGGACACCGAAAGGGUCUGGUGUUCUACAAAGAGAUCAUCCAGGGGUCACACCACAGUUGAGUGGGUCAACAUCAGUUUCAUGGCUCUCGGCAAAAAGCGGCUCUGGGAAGGUAGCCGGCAGUGUCUUCGGGCACUGGUGGUGAUUAACUGAGACGCAGAUACCGGGGUCGAGACUGAGGACUCGGAAGUGUGCGCCGAAAGGCUGGGUUAGCCGGGGUCUGCUACGUAUUGGUUUGGUUCACAGUAACUGUGGGUCGAACCUUGCGGAGUAUAGCCUCGAGCGCCGCAUGCACAUUGAAGAUGUUGACAAAAUGGCUGUAUCCGACCCGUCUUGAAACACGGACCAAGGAGUCUAACGUAUGUGCGAGUGUUAGGGUGGUAAACCCAUAACGCGUAAUGAAAGUAAAGGUUCCCGAAAGGGGACUGACGUCGGAAGUCGCCGAAAGGUGUACUGCACGAUGGGCCCGACCAUGAUCUUCGCGAGAAAGGUUUGAGCAAUAGCACAUCCGUCGGGACCAGAAAGAUGGUGAACUAUGCCUGAGUAGAGUGAAGCCAGAGGAAACUCUGGUGGAGGCUCGUAGCGUUACUGACGUGCAAAUCGUUCGUCAAACUUGGGUAUAGGGGCGAAAGACUAAUCGAACCAUCUAGUAGCUGGUUCCCUC